CAAGUCGAACGCGAAAGUGGAGCAAUCCAUGAGUAGAGUGGCAAACGGGUGAGUAACGCGUGGGUGACCUGCCUUCGAGCGGGGGAUAACGUUCCGAAAGGGACGCUAAUACCGCAUGACAUCCUGCCUUUGAAGAGGCGGAGAUCAAAGCUGGGGAUCGCAAGACCUAGCACUCGACGAGGGGCCCGCGUCUGAUUAGCUAGUUGGUGGGGUAACGGCUCACCAAGGCAACGAUCAGUACCCGGCCUGAGAGGGCGGACGGACACACUGGGACUGAGACACGGCCCAGACUCCUACGGGAGGCAGCAGUGGGGAAUUGUUCGCAAUGGGCGCAAGCCUGACGACGCAACGCCGCGUGGAGGAUGAAGAUCUUCGGGUCGUAAACUCCUUUCGAUCGAGACGAACGGCCUCCGGGUAAACAAUCCGGAGGAGUGACGGUACCGAGAGAAGAAGCCCCGGCUAACUCCGUGCCAGCAGCCGCGGUAAUACGGGGGGGGCAAGCGUUGUUCGGAAUUACUGGGCGUAAAGGGCUCGUAGGCGGCCAACUAAGUCAGACGUGAAAUCCCUCGGCUUAACCGGGGAACUGCGUCUGAUACUGGAUGGCUCGAGUUUGGGAGAGGGAUGCGGAAUUCCAGGUGUAGCGGUGAAAUGCGUAGAUAUCUGGAGGAACACCGGUGGCGAAGGCGGCAUCCUGGACCAACACUGACGCUGAGUGAGCGAAAGCCAGGGGAGCAAACGGGAUUAGAUACCCCGGUAGUCCUGGCCCUAAACGAUGAAUGCUUGGUGUGGCGGGUAUCGAUCCCUGCCGUGCCGAAGCUAACGCAUUAAGCAUUCCGCCUGGGGAGUACGGU
rnacentral:rRNA from 1 species